UACGUAGGGUGCAAGCGUUAAUCGGAAUUACUGGGCGUAAAGCGUGCGCAGGCGGUUGUGCAAGACCGAUGUGAAAUCCCCGGGCUUAACCUGGGAAUGGCAUUGGUGACUGCACGGCUAGAGUGUGUCAGAGGGGGGUAGAAUUCCACGUGUAGCGGUGAAAUGCGUAGAGAUGUGGAGGAAUACCGAUGGCGAAGGCAGCCCCCUGGGAUAACACUGACGCUCAUGCACGAAAGCGUGGGGAGCAAACAGG
rnacentral:rRNA from 1 species